CACCUCUAGCAUUUCAAGUAUUAGAGGCAUUGCCUGCCCAGUGACUAUAGUUUAACGGCCGCGGUAUCCUGACCGUGCAAAGGUAGCAUAAUCAUUUGUUCCUUAAUUAGGGACUAGUAUGAACGGCUAGACGAGGGAUCAACUGUCUCUUAUUUUCAAUCAGUGAAAUUGACCUUCCAGUGAAGAGGCUGGAAUUAAAUAAUAAGACGAGAAGACCCUAUGGAGCUUAAAUUAAUAAGCUUAAUUAUUAUUUUAACACCCUAAUGGCACAAAACAAAUAAUAUAGGCUUAAAAUUUUGGUUGGGGUGACCUCGGAGAAUAGAAAAUCCUCCGAAGAUCUAUAACAUAGACCUACAAGUCAAAGUAACCAAAUUAUCCAAUUGACCCAAUAAUUGAUCAACGGACCAAGUUACCCUAGGGAUAACAGCGCAAUCCUAUUUAAGAGUCCAUAUCGACAAUAGGGUUUACGACCUCGAUGUUGGAUCAGGACAUCCCAAUGGUGCAGAAGCUAUUAAUGGUUCGUUUGUUCAACGAUUAAAG
rnacentral:rRNA from 1 species